UAUCAUCAUUUCAACUCAUACAUGUAUUAUUUGUGUCUAAUUAUGUACUAUCAUUUUUUUAUAUAUUUAUGGAGGUAUCACGUUUCAUUGAGCUCUCAUGAUAUGACUAAUUCUCAUUCUUCUGUAUCGAGCGGGCCUUGUGGAUUUUAUGUUAUUUUUAUUAUUCUGUUUGAGAUGAGGCUCUGAUUCUGUGUGCAUGAUAUUUUUUUCCUUUCUUUCCUCGCUAUUGAUUUAUAUGCUUCCUUGUGGUCGAUUGAUUACGGAUGGUGUUGUUUAUUCAGUUCAAUUUAAAACAUCAGUAUCUGAAUAAUUUUGACAAUUCCAAUUUUCAGAUGUCCAUAUGACACACUAAUACUUCAGUAGACAUAUAGUUCGGGAUGUUGUAAAUUAAAAUUAUUAUUGCAAUAAGGCCAACGGAACUACUUGUGCCUUUUCACUCUAUCCCACAUCUUACAAUUUAGUUUUCUGCUGUAAAACUAAAUUUAGUUUUCCAGAGUCCCGACUAUUGCAUGCCAAGUAUCAAUGAAUGUGCCAGUUGGUAUUUUUGAAUUCAAAAGUAGACUUGUAUGGCCUCCAUUAGAAUUGGAAAAAAAAAUAAAUUUCCUGAGUCAAACUGUGAGUUCUGGGACGAUUUUUGUAUUUUUUUUUCUUCAUAAAGUAGUUUAAACAUUGCAUAGAACGUAUGUACUUCUGCCUAACUUUGUUUCUCCCGGGCUUCAUCAUCUUGCAUUUGGUUAAUUUUUUUCCAUCUGAAUUAUGUGAAGCAAUGAAUUUUUUGAAUGUUUAUUCUUCAUCCAAUCUGCAGACUAUACACUCCAUCUCAAUAGUUCUAAGUUAGGUGGGCGACUCUUUUUUGUUUUUCAUAAUAUAGGAAAAGUUGAGAGUUGCAGUUCUGGUUUCCAAGGCUGCAAUUCAGUUCAUACAAGGUGAGCUUCUUAGCCAUUUCAGUUAAAUUAUGCAUUAUAAAAAUUCUAAUUAGGUUGAUACUCUUUGUGGAAUGGUUGCAGGCAUGCAACCANNNNNNNNNNNNNNNNNNNNNNNNNNNNNNNN
rnacentral:lncRNA from 1 species